rnacentral:rRNA from 1 species
UAUGUAGGGUGCGAGCGUUAAUCGGAAUUACUGGGCGUAAAGCGUGCGCAGGCGGUUUUGUAAGCCAGAUGUGAAAUCCCCGGGCUUAACCUGGGAAUGGCAUUUGGGACUGCAAGGCUGGAGUGUGGCAGAGGAGACUGGAAUUCCUGGUGUAGCAGUGAAAUGCGUAGAUAUCAGGAGGAAUACCGAUGGCGAAGGCAGGUCUCUGGGCUGACACUGACGCUCAUGCACGAAAGCGUGGGGAGCAAACAGG